rnacentral:rRNA from 1 species
UCCGAGUUGUAAUUUGUAGAGGAUGUUUCGGGCACCGCUCCGGUUUAAAUUUCUUGGAACAGAAUGUCAAAGAGGGUGAGAACCCCGUCUUGGACCGGCAGUAGGGCCCAUGUGAAACUCCUUCGACGAGUCGAGUUGUUUGGGAAUGCAGCUCAAAAUGGGUGGUAAAUUUCAUCUAAAGCUAAAUAUUGGCCAGAGACCGAUAGCGCACAAGUAGAGUGAUCGAAAGAUGAAAAGCACUUUGAAAAGAGAGUUAAACAGUACGUGAAAUUGUUGAAAGGGAAGCGCUUGCAACCAGACUUGCGCGCGGCGGUUCCCCCUUCCUUUUGGUUGGGUUAUUCCGCCGUGUCCAGGCCAACAUCGGUUCUGGGGGUCGGUUAAAGGCCUGGGGAAUGUAUCUACCCUUCGGGCGUAGACUUAUAGCCCCGGGUGUCAUGCGACCUCCCGGGACCGAGGAACGCGCUUCGGCUCGGAUGUUGGCGUAAUGGUUGUCAGCGACCCGUCUUGAAACACGGACCAAGGAGUCUAACAUCUAUGCGAGUGUUUGGGUGUCAAACCCGGAACGCGGAAUGAAAGUGAACGGAGGUAGGAAGCUUCGGCUGCACUAUCGACCGAUCCUGAUGUCUUCGGAUGGAUUUGAGUAAGAGCAUAGCUGUUGGGACCCGAAAGAUGGUGAACUAUGCCUGAAUAGGGUGAAGCCAGAGGAAACUCUGGUGGAGGCUCGCAGCGGUUCUGACGUGCAAAUCGAUCGUCAAUUUGGGUAUAGGGGCGAAAGACUAAUCGAACCAUUAAAAAGUUACCGGUGGUUAAGUGUAACCGUGAAAGCGGUUGCAAGUGCCAGGUUCUGGCGCGACACUGUCAAAUUUGCGGGACCUCCCUAAAGCUUCCGACGACCGCCCCCCCCC